CGGCAGCACGGACUUCGGUCUGGUGGCGAGUGGCGAACGGGUGAGUAAUGUAUCGGAACGUGCCUAGUAGCGGGGGAUAACUACGCGAAAGCGUAGCUAAUACCGCAUACGCCCUACGGGGGAAAGCAGGGGAUCGCAAGACCUUGCACUAUUAGAGCGGCCGAUAUCGGAUUAGCUAGUUGGUGGGGUAACGGCUCACCAAGGCGACGAUCCGUAGCUGGUUUGAGAGGACGACCAGCCACACUGGGACUGAGACACGGCCCAGACUCCUACGGGAGGCAGCAGUGGGGAAUUUUGGACAAUGGGGGAAACCCUGAUCCAGCCAUCCCGCGUGUGCGAUGAAGGCCUUCGGGUUGUAAAGCACUUUUGGCAGGAAAGAAACGUCAUGGGCUAAUACCCCGUGAAACUGACGGUACCUGCAGAAUAAGCACCGGCUAACUACGUGCCAGCAGCCGCGGUAAUACGUAGGGUGCAAGCGUUAAUCGGAAUUACUGGGCGUAAAGCGUGCGCAGGCGGUUCGGAAAGAAGAUGUGAAAUCCCAGAGCUUACUUUGGAACUGCAUUUUUAACUACCGAGCUAGAGUGUGUCAGAGGAGGUGGAAUUCCCGUGUAGCAGUGAAAUG
rnacentral:rRNA from 1 species